AGAAAAAGCUUGUGCUAUCUUCAACAAGGACAGAAGAUUCUUAGAAUCCCAAGAUGACUCCCAAAUUUGUAAUACUAGUGACAGCUGUGGCCCUUGCCUGCCUUGUACAACUUGGGAAAGCAGAAAAGGAGGAGGAAAGCAACAAUGAGAUUGAAGAAAGGGAAAUACAACAGUUCCUCUCCGACAGUGAAGGAAUGAGAAAUGAGAGGGGAGUGGCUGACGCUGUUAACAAAGCGAUUGCAGUGCUUAAAAAUUUAUUUGGUAAAUAAAAUCUGCCAUUUUUAAUAAUAAUAUACAUAUAUUUCUAUUUAAUUGUUCUAUAACAUCAUUGGACAUGUUUUU